rnacentral:rRNA from 1 species
CCUACGGGGGGCAGCAGUGGGGAAUAUUGCGCAAUGGGCGAAAGCCUGACGCAGCGACGCAGCGUGAGGGAUGAAGGUCUUCGGAUCGUAAACCUCUGUCAGCAGGGAAGAACGGUCACUGUGCUAAUCAGCAGUGAAUUGACGGUACCUGCAAAGGAAGCACCGGCUAACUCCGUGCCAGCAGCCGCGGUAAUACGGAGGGUGCGAGCGUUGAUCGGAAUUACUGGGCGUAAAGCGCUCGUAGGCGGUAUGUCAAGUCAAGGGUGAAAGCCCCGCGCUCAACGUGGGAACUGCCGUUGAAACUGGCAAACUGGAGUGUGUGAGAGGAUAGUGGAAUUCCAGGUGUAGGAGUGAAAUCCGUAGAUAUCUGGAGGAACAUCAGUGGCGAAGGCGACUAUCUGGCACAUAACUGACGCUGAGGAGCGAAAGCGUGGGUAGCAAACAGGAUUAGAUACCCUUGUAGUC